rnacentral:rRNA from 1 species
CCCGACUUUAUGGAAGGGUGGUAUUUAUCAGACUGAAGCCAAUAUUCCUUGUGUCUAUUGCGGUGAUUCAUAAUAACUGAUCGGAUCUCUUUUUGAGAUAAAUCAUUCAAGUUUCUGCCCUAUCAGCUUUCGAUGGUAGUGUAUUGGACUACCAUGGCAGUAGCGGGUAACGAAGAAUUAGGGUUCGAUUUCGGAGAGGGAGCAUGAGAAACGGCUACCACAUCUAAGGAAGGCAGCAGGCGCGUAAAUUACCCAAUCCUGACUCAGGGAGGUAGUGACAAGAAAUAGCAAACCGGGAACCUCAUGGUUUCACGGUAUUGCAAUGAGAACAAUUUAAAACCCUUAGCGAGAAUCAAGUGGAGGACAAGUCUGGUGCCAGCACCCGCGGUAAUUCCAGCUCCACUAGCGUAUAUUAAAGUUGUUGCAGUUAAAAAGCUCGUAGUUGAACCUCUGUCUGGGGCUAGUUUUGGCUUUGGUCAGGCUAGUUCUAGGCAUCCGCCUACAAGACUUAGAGGGCAUUCAGUUGUUCACUAGGAGGAGUAGGCAUUUUACUCUGAAAAAAUUAGAGUGUUUAAGGCAGGCAAUCGCCCGCAUAUAUUAGCAUGGAAUAAUAGAAUAGGACACUUUUCCAUUUCGUUGGUUAUUGGAAUCGUGUAAUGAUUAAUAGGGACAGUUGUGGGCAUUUGUAUUUAAUUGUCAGAGGUGAAAUUCUUGGAUUUAUUAAAGACAAACUAGCGCGAAAGCAUUUGCCAAGGAUGUUUUCAUUAAUCAAGAACGAAAGUUAGGGGAUCAAAGACGAUCAGAUACCGUCCUAGUCUUAACUAUAAACUAUUCCGACUCAAUGUUUGACUGGCUUAUAUAACCAGUUGAGCGUUGUAUGAGAAAUCAAAGUCUUUAGGUUCUGGGGGGAGUAUGGUUGCAAAGCUGAAACUUAAGGGAAUUGACGGAAGAGCACAACCAGGAGUGGAUUCUGCGGCUUAAUUUGACUCAACACGGGGAAACUACCAGGUUAAAACAAUAGUGGGAUUGACAGUUUGAGAGCGCUUUCUUGAUUGGUUGGGUGGUGGUGCAUGGCCGUUCUUAGUUGGUGGAGUGAUUUGUCUGCUUAAUUGCGUUAACGAACGAGACCUUAACCUGCUUACUAGACUGGCGAUCAUCAAUCGUUAGCUCUUCUUAGAGGGACUUUGGUUGUUUUAACUCCAAGGAAGUUUGAGUCAAUAACAGGUCUGUGAUGCCCUUAGAUAUCCUGGGCCGCACGCGUCAUACAAUGACUAGUUCAGAAAGUUUUCUCCUGACCCGAAAGGGGAUGGGUAAUCUUGAUAAUACUAGUCGUGUUAGGGAUCGAUCUUUGCAAUUAUAGAUCUUGAACGA